rnacentral:rRNA from 1 species
UACGUAGGUGGCAAGCGUUGUCCGGAUUUACUGGGCGUAAAGGGCGUGCAGGCGGUCUGUUAAGUCUAGGGUGAAAGCUCCCGGCUCAACUGGGAGAGGUCCUUGGAUACUGGCGGACUUGAGGGAGGCAGAGGAAAGUGGAAUUCCCGGUGUAGUGGUGAUAUGCGUAGAUAUCGGGAGGAACACCAGUGGCGAAGGCGGCUUUCUGGGGCUUACCUGACGCUGAGACGCGAAAGCGUGGGGAGCGAACCGG